rnacentral:rRNA from 1 species
GAGUUUGAUCAUGGCUCAGAUUGAACGCUGGCGGCAUGCCUUACACAUGCAAGUCGAACGGCAGCACGGGAGCUUGCUCCUGGUGGCGAGUGGCGAACGGGUGAGUAAUGCAUCGGAACGUAUCCUGGAGUGGGGGAUAACGUAGCGAAAGUUACGCUAAUACCGCAUAUUCUGUGAGCAGGAAAGCGGGGGACCUUCGGGCGUCGCGCUCUUGGAGCGGCCGAUGUCGGAUUAGCUAGUUGGUGAGGUAAAGGCUCACCAAGGCGACGAUCCGUAGCAGGUCUGAGAGGAUGAUCUGCCACACUGGAACUGAGACACGGUCCAGACUCCUACGGGAGGCAGCAGUGGGGAAUUUUGGACAAUGGGGGCAACCCUGAUCCAGCCAUGCCGCGUGAGUGAAGAAGGCCUUC